UACGUAGGGUGCAAGCGUUGUCCGGAAUUAUUGGGCGUAAAGAGCUCGUAGGCGGUCUGUCGCGUCGGACGUGAAAAUCCAGGGCUCAACCCUGGACCUGCGUUCGAUACGGGCAGACUAGAGUUCGGUAGGGGAGACUGGAAUUCCUGGUGUAGCGGUGAAAUGCGCAGAUAUCAGGAGGAACACCGGUGGCGAAGGCGGGUCUCUGGGCCGAAACUGACGCUGAGGAGCGAAAGCGUGGGGAGCAAACAGG
rnacentral:rRNA from 2 species